rnacentral:rRNA from 1 species
UACGUAGGGGGCAAGCGUUGUCCGGAAUCAUUGGGCGUAAAGCGCGUGUAGGCGGCCCGGUAAGUCCGCUGUGAAAGUCGGGGGCUCAACCCUCGAAUGCCGGUGGAUACUGUCGGGCUAGAGUACGGAAGAGGCGAGUGGAAUUCCUGGUGUAGCGGUGAAAUGCGCAGAUAUCAGGAGGAACACCAAUUGCGAAGGCAGCUCGCUGGGACGUUACUGACACUGAGGCGCGAAAGCGUGGGGAGCGAACAGG